rnacentral:rRNA from 1 species
GACGAACGCUGGCGGCGUGCUUAACACAUGCAAGUCGAGCGGUAAGGCCCUUUCGGGGGUACACGAGCGGCGAACGGGUGAGUAACACGUGGGUGACCUGCCCUUACGCUCUGGGAUAAGCCUGGGAAACUGGGUCUAAUACCGGAUAUGACCUCAUGACUCAUGUUGUGGGGUGGAAAGCCUUGUGCGGCUAGGGAUGGGCCCGCGGUCUAUCAGCUUGUUGGUGGGGUAAUUGCCACCAAGGCGACGACGGGUAGCCGGCCUGAGAGGGCGACCGGCCACACUGGGACUGAGACACGGCCCAGACUCCUACGGGAGGCAGCAGUGGGGAAUCUUGCGCAAUGGGCGAAAGCCUGACGCAGCGACGCCGCGUGAGGGAUGACGGCCUGGUG